rnacentral:lncRNA from 1 species
UUGGUUAGUUUGGCUUAUCUGUUUUCUCUUCUAAGGAUUGGCUCGAUAUGGAGGAAAUCUGAAAAUGAUUGUGAAUUUUUACAAAUAGGAAUCAACAAAACAUUAAAUCAAAAAAAAAGAAAGAAAAUGAAGACCAGAGUCAAUGGAUCCCUGCUGAAGCAAGAACUCUUCUGUUCUCAUUGCUGAAGGAAAGAAAGGAAUUCUGUAGAGGAAGGCAGAGUGAAAACCAAGAGUGGGGAAGAUCUUCGAUGGGCUCACUUCUACACCUUCUGAGUGUGAAAUGCCAACAGAGCACUGAAAACCUCCCAAGUUCCCUAUCCAGAACUCCAGCCUAG